rnacentral:rRNA from 1 species
UGAGUAACCUGCCCUUCACUCUGGGAUAACUCCGGGAAACCGGGGCUAAUACUGGAUAUGACUCGAACAGGCAUCUGUUUCGGGUGGAAAGAUUUAUUGGUGGAGGAUGGACUCGCGGCCUAUCAGCUCGUUGGUGAGGUAAUGGCUCACCAAGGCGACGACGGGUAGCCGGCCUGAGGAGGGCGAUGGGCCGCACGUGGGACUGAGACACCGGCCCAGACCUCCGUACGGGAGCA